rnacentral:lncRNA from 1 species
UUCAGAUGAGUAUUUAUAUGUAUAUGUCGGUAUCAGGUUUUGCGAGUCCAUGGCUUCCAAUAGAUGCAAGCAUCUACUGUUAAUUACCCCCUUGAGAUUGGGGCACCUUCGAUUAAGAGACCUUUAUAGAUUGGAUGAGAUGGAUCGUAUCUCGGUUUAUUGAAUCCUAAGUAUAUGUAUUAGGAUUCAGUUGGAUUUGAGGUUGAUUAGGCCCUAAGUAUAUGUGUGGGUAUCAGGUUUUGCGAGUCCAUGGCUUCCAAUAGAUGCAAGCAUCUACUGUUAAUUACCCCCUUGAGAUUGGGGCACCUUCGAUUAAGAGACCUUUAUAGAUUGGAUGAGAUGGAUCGUAUCUCGGUUUAUUGAAUCCUAAGUAUAUGUAUUAGGAUUCAGUUGGAUUUGAGGUUGAUUAGGCCCUAAGUAUAUGUGUUAAGACCUGAUCGAUAUUAAACUCUAUGUAUUAGAGUCUAAUUGGUUCAUGAGAUAUGGGUAUGAGAUCUGGGUAUUGGUUCAUGGGAUUUGGG